rnacentral:rRNA from 1 species
UACGGAGGGUCCAAGCGUUAUCCGGAUUUAUUGGGUUUAAAGGGUCCGCAGGCGGGAAAAUAAGUCAGUGGUGAAAUCCUAUCGCUUAACGAUAGAACUGCCAUUGAUACUGUUUUUCUUGAGUGUAAUUGAAGUGGGCGGAAUGUGUCAUGUAGCGGUGAAAUGCAUAGAUAUGACACAGAACACCGAUUGCGAAGGCAGCUCACUAAAUUAUUACUGACGCUCAGGGACGAAAGCGUGGGGAGCAAACAGG